rnacentral:lncRNA from 1 species
GCUCACCAAGUACUCGCCGUGGAGGACCCCCUCGGCCGCGUCUUCCUCUUCUCCGCGGCCGGUGAUGCGCUGCUUGAGCUUGGUUUCCCUGACGAGGCCUCCAACUCGCAAGAACUACUCACUGUACAUGAAGGAACGGGAGAAGUAAGUGUUGAUUAAUUACCAAGUGUAGGAGCAUCUGUGGUGCUACUGCAUCUCCUGUCUACUGUCUAGCGAAAGUCAAGUCUCCGUUUAUAUUGAUAAUCUCUGUUUCUCAAGCUGCUGCUCCUGUCUAUUGUCAUGGUAUGUGUAAAUCGGACCGGAUCGAUCACCUGCAGUUCGUCUGUCCCCACCUCGCCUGCCUACAAGCAGGAGGCUGACGGUGCCGAGGAGGAGGGCGCUGAGGAGAGCAAGAUAGAGGAGGUCAACUAAAUUAUCAUUUCUAGAGAAGAAGAUAAACAGUUGGGUCAGUUAGUGUCGUGUCACCGGAGUCUUGUUGACUGUUGGGUCGAAUGUAUGUGUUGCUUGGUGUCGUGAGCUUGUAGAAUGUGAGAAGUGAAGACGGCCGAAUUCUAAAGAAAAAAGAGAAGAGUUUAAAGUCCGAAACUUUUUUAUUUUUUGUAUGAACUGAAUUGCAUCUACCUUAGUUGAUCAAAUUCAGAUUUUGGGAUGUGACUUUCCUCUUCUUCAAAUUCAGAUAUACUGAGAGGUGUAUUACUGAGGCGCCCUUCUUGAAAUUUAUGAAUUCGAAUCAUUCUAAAGCAUGAAGAAUUUUUGUUUGUGCCUGAACUGGAAAGUAUAUUUUUGUAGGCAGCAAGGAACAGCUCCAACUGAAUCUCCAAGUGUUGUUUGCCUCAACUGAAUCUCCAUCUAUCUGCGCGUUCUUGGCGGUGGAUGGUACGGUACAGUUGGACGAGGAAAUUACAUCGCAACCUAGCGUGUCUUCGGCAUGUCCCGUGUGUGAGAUGUGAGAAGUUUAGGGAGUAAUCUGGUUGAGUUCUCAAACUUUUUGUGUUCUGUGAUAUCUUGGAACUCAAACCGAAACGGUCUUUGAUGAUCAAAUCUAGUGUUUGGUCUUUCUUCACCGGCUAACAUUCAUGUUGUCGAAUAUAUUCUCAAGUGUAUCUGCAGAGCAAAGAUUCGAUCUGAUGAAUCGACGCUUUGGUAUGUACACAUUUUGUGACUAGAUCUUGUAACUUUGACCAUGGGAAGAAAAUUGUUGAAAUGAUUCCCCCUAUAAUUUUUGUGUAAAAUGCAUGGCAAUAGACAGACCAUAGACCUAAUAAAUUUAUAAAUUAGGUAAAAACAAAAUGGUAACUUUAAUCAUGGGGAAGAAAUUU